CACCUCCCAGUAAGUGACAGUAACGCAGGAGACUUAAGGGUAGGAAUUCAAUGGACACAUCCUUUAGCCAAGAUGUGGCAUUUCUGUCUGUAAUAUGAACACAUCCUUAUAUGACAGGAGUUAGUAAACAUCCCUGAUUCCUCAGGUGGGGACAGUCACAUGCUUGCAGGAGGAUUUUGCAAUGGGGCUGAGCCCAGUGAGGCAAUGACCUUGGAAGCUGCUGUUAGUCACCAUCUGGGCAGGCAGCUACUACAACGUACUGUGUUACCCCUCAGCUCUGGGGUCCUUUGAGCCCCGCAGGCGUGACCUUGCUGACCCUCUCUGGCACCAGGCUGUGGGUGUUCCAGGCCGUCAGAGCUGCUGGGGGACCCUGGAGACAGAGCAGCUUUCCCAGCUGUGUCAUCAUAGAGACAAGGAAGCCGAGGCCACUGUCCGCAGCUGGGGGCACAGUCAGAUUACCAGGAAGAAGUCAGAAGAGGCUGCUGCUCCUUGACCCACGUGCUUCCUUGGGAGCUUGAGAAGCUGCUCCCCCUGGUGCUGCCGCGGGUGCUGCUUACCGGGAAACCCGCGGCAUCCGAGAGGCUCCGCUGUGCUGGGUCUGUCCUGGGUUCUCCCUGCAGGUCAGAUCCGUGUAAGGAAUGCUGGCGGGCACUGCAGUCUGGCAGGAGCUCACUGUGGGGAAGGAGAGGCUGGGCUGGAUCCCAAGGCUGAGCUGUCAGGCUCUGCAGCCCUCCCAGUGCUCAGUUAUCAGGCUCACUACCUCUCAAAGGCCUCUCUUCUCUACGUGGACGUUUGUCUGUCACAGCCGCAAGAUUCUGACAAUAAACUUGCUCUCCAAAUUCCUAAAAUAAUUGGUUGCUCCAGUUUAGCCAGCUAAGACUUCCUUGGAUAAUGACAUAAUCUAGAAAGAUAUUUAACAAAUUCGUUUAAACUGGAAAUUAUUGACUCUACAGUUGAGUCAGAAAAACCACAUUCAAUACACAUUCGCAAUAUUCAGCAGCAGCUCAAUACACAUUGGCAAUAUUCAACAGCAGCGCUGGGUCCUGAGGCUCCAGGGCAGUGCAGGAGCAGGGAUUAGAGGUCUGAGAGGUUUCAUGGCACUUCUCAGGGGAAUACACGGGUUCUGGGUUCUUCCAAGGAACCUCCCUCCGUGCCAGCCACCACCUGGUCCCUGCUGGGGAAAUAGUGGUCCAGGGAGCCCUCAACUGUAGGGAAAUUACUGACCCUCCCGAUGUCACCGCAUCUCCACUGGGUCUUCUUUUAUUCAUUCUUUCCCCUAGAAAACACCUUCUGACACACUCCUGCUCUGCCUGUCUGUCCCCUGCUGCAGCCAGACAGCACGAAAGAAGUCCAGUGUCUGGACUGUUUGCUGAUUUGCAGAACCUGUUCUCUCGCAGUAUCUGUUUUCCAAUGCAGAUUUUCACGGUCCCCUAAAGAAACUUAAAAUUCCAUUCCCAGAACGACUUCAUUUCCUGAUACCCAGCCCAAAUUCACUUGUGUUUGGAGCCAAUGUGGCAACACAGCCACUUGGGUGGGGUGAACAUCACAGCCCACAAUUCUGCACUUCAGAUUUGGGUUUAUCUUAGGACUUAGUGCAACUUUGCAUUUGGCAGAGGCCUUUCUCUUUUGUAGCCCUUGCCACCAACCUCAUCGUGUAAUUACUUGUGAAAGUCUGCUUCAUGCCUGUGUGCUCAGCAGAUGAGAGACCUUGAGGCCUGGGAAGAUCCCGCCCUCCCUGGCUCUGUAUUCCGAGGUAGUGCAUUGCCUAGUGGAUGGUUAAUUUUAGGUGUCAACUUGACUAAGCUGAGGGAAACCCAGAGAGCUGAUACAACAUGCUUUGUAAGUAUGUCUGAGAGGGAGGAUCCAGAAGAGAUCAGUACUUGAAUCAAGGGACUGAGCAGGGAAAAUCCACGCUCCCCAAAGUGCUGAGGGCCCAGAUAGAACAAAAAGGCAGAGGAAGGGUCAAUUCUUUCCUUAUUCUGGAUCUGAGACAUCCAUCUUCUCCUGCCCCCAAACCUCAGAACUCCAGGUUCUCAGGCCUUUGGACUCUGGGACGUACACCAGGAACUUCCCUGGUUCUCCAGCUUGUAGACGGCAGCAGGACUUCUCAUCCUCUGCAACCACAGAAGCCAAGUCACAUGAAACCCCCCCCCUCACCCCUCUCUCUGUGUACAUCCUAUGGGUUCUGUUUCUAUGGAGAACUCUAAUACAACUGGCAAAGACUAGCAUU